ACGUGACCCCCCUCGCAUCCCGGGGGGGCGAGAGCCGGCGGGAGGCCUGCGACGAGACGGACGCCGACGGCGGCGCGGGAGUUGCUACACGUGCCAAACGCUCGGGAGCGGGCCGCAAUUACAAAGCGACAACCGCUCCACUUCGGACAAAUGAAGCGGAACGGACGCCGCUGGAGAAAGACACCCGCCCAUUGGGACACUUUUUGUUGACGUCAGUGCACACAAAGCAUCCAAAGCAGAAAAUGGAAUUUUCUGUCCGUCAGAGAAAGUGCAUCCUCUCGGUUAUGGCUUCGCUGAGCAGCGGUUCAAAGAUGGACGCAAAGACACCGAGAUCAGCAUUCUAAAAGGGAGAAACAUUCAUCAUCAAGAGCCUCGUCCGACAUGCGCCGGACUAUCGUCCAUCGAAGAGAUCGAAGUCGCUGGUAGGAAAUCAUAAGACGCACAUCUGGAUG